GAUGAAGAACGCAGCGAAAUGCGAUAAGUAAUGUGAAUUGCAGAAUUCAGUGAAUCUUCGAAUCUUUGAACGCACAUUGCGCCCGCCAGUAUUCUGGCGGGCAUGCCUGUCUGAGCGUCAUUUCAACCCUCAUGCCCCUAGGGCGUGGUGUUGGGGAUCGGCCAAAGCCCGCGAGGGACGGCCGGCCCCUAAAUCUAGUGGCGGACCCGUCGUGGCCUCCUCUGCGAAGUAGUGAUAUUCCGCAUCGGAGAGCGACGAGCCCCUGCCGUUAAACCCCCAACUUUCCAAGGUUGACCUCAGAUCAGGUAGGAAUACCCGCUGAACUUAAGCAUAUCAAUAAGCGGAAGA
rnacentral:misc_RNA from 1 species